rfam:Hordeum vulgare subsp. vulgare, WGS project CAJW01000000 data, contig: morex_contig_212845
CUAAUACUCCCUCCGUCCCNAAAUUCUUGUCUUAGGUUUGUCUAAAUACUAAAACGUGACUAGAUACAUUUAUAUAUAGACAAAUAUAAGACAAUAAUUUUGGGACGGAGGAAAUAUUUA